rnacentral:rRNA from 1 species
GUGCAGCAGUCGAGAAAUCUCUCCAAUGUGUGAAAACAUGAGAGGGGUAUUCCAAGUUCCCUUGUUAUGCAAGGGAUUUUCUUUGGUCCAAGACGCCAAAGGAAUAAGAGCUGGGUAAGACCGGUGCCAGCCGCCGCGGUAACACCGGCAGCCCAAGUGGUAGCCACGUUUAUUGGGUCUAAAAGCGUUCGUAGCCGGCCAGGUAAGUUCCUUGGUAAAAUUUAGCCGCUUAAACGGUUAAGCUUUCAGGGAAUACUGCUUGGCUUGGGACUGGGAGAGGUCAGAGGUACUCCGGGGGUAGGGGUGAAAAUCUAUUAAUCCCUGGGGGACCACCGGUAGCGAAGGCGUCUGACCAGACCAGGUCCGACGGUGAGGGACGAAGGCUAGGGGCGCGAACCGGAUUAGAUACCCGGGUAGU